GACGAACGCUGGCGGCGUGCUUAACACAUGCAAGUCGAACGGUGAACCUCUUCGUAGGGGCUCAGUGGCGCACGGGUGGGUAACACGUGGCCAACCUGUCCCCGUCUCUGGGCUAACUCCAAGCUAUUGGGGCUAAUACCGGAUGUUCACCGCUUCCCGCAUGGGUGGUGGUGGACAGGGUUUCCGGCUGGGGUUGGGCCCGGGGCGUCUCCGCUUGUUGGUGGGGUAGUGGCCUACCAAGGCGACGACGGGUAGCCGGCCUGUGAGGGUGGCCCGCCACGCUAGGACGGAGAUGCGGCCCGGCCCCCAAUGGGAGGGAGGAGAGGGGAAUGUUGUGCUGGGGGCGGGAGCCUGGCGCGGUGACGCCGCGUGGGGGAUGACGGGCUGGGGGUUGUGUUGCACUGUCAGCAGGGACGAAGCGAUAGUGACGGUACCGGCAGAAUAAGCACCGGCUAACUACGUG
rnacentral:rRNA from 1 species